rnacentral:rRNA from 1 species
GACAGAGGAUGCAAGCGUUAUCCGGAAUGAUUGGGCGUAAAGCGUCUGUAGGUGGCUUUUUAAGUUCGCCGUCAAAUCCCAGGGCUCAACCCUGGACAGGUGGUGGAAACUACCAAGCUAGAGUACGGUAGGGGCAGAGGGAAUUUCCGGUGGAGCGAUGAAAUGCGUAGAUAUCGGGAGGAACACCAGUGGCGAAGGCGACUACCUGGCCCAUUCUUGACGCUGAGGCGCGAAAGCUAGGGGAGCGAACGGG